rnacentral:tRNA from 1 species
GCCUGGGUGGCUUAGUCGGUUGAGCGUCCGACUUCAGCUCAGGUCAUGAUCUCACGGUCUGUGGGUUCGAGCCCCGUGUCGGGCU